rnacentral:rRNA from 1 species
AGUGAACGCUGGCGGUAGGCCUAACACAUGCAAGUCGAACGGCAGCACAGGAGAGCUUGCUCUCUGGGUGGCGAGUGGCGGACGGGUGAGGAAUACAUCGGAAUCUACUUUUUCGUGGGGGAUAACGUAGGGAAACUUACGCUAAUACCGCAUACGACCUACGGGUGAAAGCAGGGGAUCUUCGGACCUUGCGCGAUUGAAUGAGCCGAUGUCGGAUUAGCUAGUUGGCGGGGUAAAGGCCCACCAAGGCGACGAUCCGUAGCGGGUCUGAGAGGAUGAUCAGCCACACUGGAACUGAGACACGGUCCAGACUCCUACGGGAGGCAGCAGUGGGGAAUAUUGGACAAUGGGCGCAAGCCUGAUCCGGCCAUACCGCGUGGGUGAAGAAGGCCUUCGGGUUGUAAAGCCCUUUUGUUGGGAAAGAAAUCCAGCUGGUUAAUACCCGGUUGGGAUGACGGUACCCAAAGAAUAAGCACCGGCUAACUUCGUGCCAGCCGCCGCAGUAA